GCCUGGCAAUUGUGGAUCUGUUGACAUUAUUUCUAAAACUCAGAAUGAGAAGAAUUACUGAGAUAAUAGAGGCUCUGGUUCCACAAUAGACAAGACACCUGGAGGAGAAGGACACGAUUGACUCAACCAUCCAGAACUCUGUCUUCCAUUAUUGAACCAUCCUUUGGCUCUCUUCUUACACAUGGAUUGGUUUCCUUGGGAGAAGGAAAGGAGGGGCUUCCCAGAAGCUUGACAGGAGUACAUCCCACAGGUGCAUGAUCUGAGGGCACCAGGGUCGGCUGGCUCCAGCUCGGCUGUCAAGCAGAACCUGUUCCCUCAGAAACAAGCUACAGAGAAGACAGCUGAGCCACAUCCGGCAAAGUCCUAAAGAAGGAACGACAGAGGGAAGGGACACCACCGAUGUGCAUGCAGAGGACAGGCCAUCUGAGGACACAGCAAAAAGGUGGCCAACCUCAAGCCAAGCAAAGACACCACAGAAUAAAUCAACCUUGCCGACACCCUGCGCUGAGACUUCCAGCCUGCAGGAACAGCAGCCCUAGCGAAGGAACAUGGUAGCCCACAGUGACGCCCAGCCCUCCCUGACCCCUGCCGAAAGUAAUUCAGUCAGUUUCUUGCCAACCACGAGCCUCAACUAAUAAACAGCCUUCCUCCUGCAGUCUGAUCAGGUCUCCUUCCUCUUCCCCAGGGCCCUGUCUUGAACUUUUUCUGGUAUUUUAUUACAAGCUGCACAUGUGAAGGCUUGUAAAGUAAGGUGGAUGAGUUGAAGUCUUGGCAAAAAUGGAGACAGAAUGUCAGAAAUGGCAGCAAAUAUUUGCUGACACAUGUCAGGGCUUUGUGGACACAUCUGAAUGUUGUGAAUGGACAAAUACUAAUCUCAGCAUCUUUGGAAAAUACAAAUAUCUGUCUGAAAGAACUCAACAUCUAGGUCAUGUCUUCUCAAAGGGGACUGGGGGACAGUCAGGAAGGAGAAAACUGACUCUCAGGUAUGAAAAUAUUCUCCUUCCUAUAUGUAAACCACAGAUACAUAUGUAUGGCACAUGAACAGAUACAGACUGGUGGCUUUAAAAUUCCAUGGGAGGCUGAUCUGGGGAAAAUGUCUAAGAAGUCAUUUGGAGGAGAUGAUAAUAAAAAAGAGUUGAGGAACAUUCACCUACAUGUUUGGUGCAGUGUUAACACCCCUUUCUUGGAGGGCAUUGUGCAGUGGGGGCCUUUGUUCUCAGGGCCUUCACACGGUGAUGCUAACAAGGACAAUUGCAGCGUUCCCAAGUAGAAAAGGGAUGUUUCUACUCAUUGAGUAAAGUCAGACAUAGACAAAACCAUUUAUUCUUGCAACUGAUGGGUAAGGUUCAAAAAGAAGGAACUGGUAAGGGUACAGCAGACACAGUUGGAGGCUUGUCCAAUAGUAUAUCCUCUACAUUUUUUCUUGCUGGCAAAAAUUCCCUCCCAGGGUAGAGGCUGAAAACUGGGUAUGUGGUUUCCCAGCCUCCUUUAUGUUAGAGCAUAAGCACGUGACCCAGUCCCUAGGGAAAGGGACUCCUAACCAAGGAAAAGGGUCUCAAGAGAAGGACUCCUGUCACCCCUUCAGCGGGUUGCUGUCAGAUGCCAUGUGUUGCCCGGCACUUCAGCAGCCACCUUGUGGCCAUGAGGCUCAGGACCCAAGGAGCUAACUACAAAGAAGCAGAAAGAGCAAGAGGAAAGGUCAUUGAUGACAUUGGUCAGUGAAGAGGAAAAUGACAAAUUAAAAAAGUAAUGAACAAAAUCAACUGCACUUUACAACUAAAAUUUGUGAAGCUAAAUUUGGGGAACAAGUAAUCAAGCUCAAUAGAAAAGGGCUAGGUAGAACAAAGAAGUUCUGGGUCUUAGUCCCAUUUCUUAUUACUAGCCAGGGGGAUAACUUAGGGCAAAUGGUUCAGCUUCUCUAAACUUUGGGGGGGAAUGUUUAUCUAGCCCCUCCUCAGAUGGUUUGUUGGUUUGCACUAUUGACUUGGCCAAGCACAAAGUACUUUUACAAGAAUCCCCUUCCCUGGGUAUGUCUAGGUUGCAGCUGGGAAAAAAACAAACAAAUAAACAAA